CAUUUUCCUACGUUGUUAUUUAUGUAAGAUAAAGCCUGCCCACUGAUAAAAUUUAUUUAAAAGGCCGCGGUAAAUUGACCGUGCAAAGGUAGCAUAAUAAUUAGUUUUUUAAUUGAGAACUAGCAUGAAGGGUUUAACAAAUAAUACUUGUCUCAAAUACUGUAUGAACUUAAUUUUCCAAGUAAAAAAGCUUAAAUAAUUUUAUAAGACGAUAAGACCCUAUAAAGCUCUAUAAAACUACUUUUGAUUUUACUGAUAAUCCUUAAAAAGAUUAAAACGGUUUUAUUUAGUUGGGGCGACUAUAAUUACUAAAAUUAAACUACUAUUAGAUUAAAGCUAAAUUAUUAGUUUUAAUGAAUAUCUUUAUAUUGUUUAUUAGUUGAGUUACUUUAGGGAUAACAGCGUAAUAUUUUUAAAGAGUCCAUAUCGAUAAAAAAGUUUGCG
rnacentral:rRNA from 1 species